UACGGGGGGAGCAAGCGUUUGUUCGGAUUUACUGGGCGUAAAGGGCGCGUAGGCGGCGUGACAAGUCACUUGUGAAAUCUCCGGGCUUAACUCGGAACGGUCAAGUGAUACUGUCGUGCUAGAGUACAGAAGGGGCAACUGGAAUUCUCGGUGUAGCGGUGAAAUGCGUAGAUAUCGAGAGGAACACCUAUGGCGAAGGCAGCUCGCUGGGACGUUACUGACGCUGAGACGCGAAAGCGUGGGGAGCAAACAGG
rnacentral:rRNA from 1 species